CACGGUCCUAGGGCUCAGGUCCUCCGAGAGAGAGAAAGAAAGAGAGAAUUAGAGAGAGCAUAUGUGGGGUGGCCAGUCCUCUUCUGGCUGUGCCGGGUGGAGAUUAUAACAGAACAUGGCCAAGAUGUUCAAAUGUUCAUAAAUGACCAGCAUGGUCGAAUAAUAGUAAGGCAGAACAGUUGAAACUGGAGCAGCAGCAUGGCCAGGUGGACUGGGGACAGCAAGGUGUCAUCAUGUCAGGUAGUCCUGGGGCAUGGUCCUAGGGCUCAGGUCCUCCGAGAGAGAGAAAGAAAGGGAGAAGGAGAGAAUUAGAGAACGCACACUUAGAUUCACACAGGACACCGAAUAGGACAGGAGAAGUACUCCAGAUAUAACAAACUGACCCUAGGAUAAUAUUUAUGAAUAAUUUUAAAGGAAACUUUCUUAAUUUUGUUAACAAGUAGGUAUGUGUGUGGCAACAUCCAAACUUUUUUCUAACAGAUAUUAUCAAUAAAUCCAUUCCAAUAAGGCAUGACAAAAGGUAUAGAUACAACAUCCUGCUGAAACAAGGAUCGUAUCGCUCUGUUGUUGAAUGGACCAAAAAAGAAACAAAUCUUUCCUACUGAUGAGUCAACAGGGUCAACAGAAGGUAGGCUCUGAGGGUCAGGUCUUGACACGUUCCUGAAUAACAUAGCAACAUAUAUAUAUAUUUGUGUAAACGUCAGUACACCAGAGGAGAAGAUGACGCUGUUGCACAUGUCGUAGUUGGGAACAGGAAGUUCCGGGUAGAAAACCACAGAACUGUGGUGUUAUGUGGAUAGUGGUUGUGUCCGUUUCAAAUGUAUUAUUGUAGACCGACUCAGAUUAAGUCUGAGGCCGGUAACAUCAACAGUGAGGACAAACCCAGCCUGCCACUCUCCUUCCACACUGAGUCCAAACCUACAGUCACUGGGUCCUGAUUGUGACAGUGGAGCCCAGUUUGCUCUGCAGGAUCCAGAGAUGGCAUCAGUGAAGCUGGAAGACUGCAGUCCAACACUGGAGCUGAAUGUCACCCUUAAAGAUGAAGAAGAGGAGGAGAAGAUUAGGACAACUGUUAGUCAUGGUAAGAGCUGGUUCUAUCUAUAAGUUAACUUCAUAAAUUAGACCUCCAUAAGUUAUGACCAGGCUAUUGCUAGUUUG
rnacentral:lncRNA from 1 species